rnacentral:rRNA from 1 species
UGGGGGUUAUUGCACAAUGGGCGCAAGCCUGAUGCAGCGACGCCGCGUGGGGGAUGAAGGCCUUCGGGUUGUAAACUUCUUUUGCUCUGAACAAGGCGCACUUUGGGGUGUGUUGAGUGUAGGGGUUGAUUAGCGCCGGCUAACUACGUGCCAGCAGCCGCGGUAAUACGUAGGGCGCGAGCGUUGUCCGGAAUUAUUGGGCGUAAAGGGCUUGUAGGUGGCUGGUUGCGUCUGUCGUGAAAGCUCAUGGCUUAACUGUGGGUUUGCGGUGGGUACGGGCUGGCUUGAGUGCAGUAGGGGAGGCUGGAAGUCCUGGUGUAGCGGUGGAAUGCGCAGAUAUCAGGAGGAAUACCGGUGGCGAAGGCGGGUCUCUGGGCUGUUACUGACACUGAGGAGCGAAAGCAUGGGGAGCGAACAGG